GUGGAAUCACUAAUUUUGCUUUUCAUUUGUUUCAUUUACUGAGACAUUUUUAAGAGAUGCUUCCAGCUUCCUUUUGGGUCCCUUGGAGAAUGCACAAAUUGGCCAUUAUCUCAGCGGCUCUCUCUCCAAAGAUGGUAAAGAGUUUCAGAUGAAAGAAGUCCAGACUGCUCCUCUCUGCCAAAGAAAACAAAUCCAAUAUCUCUCUUAUGGGUUGUUUUGCCAAACUCCAAAAGGAAGAGUGUAUUAAAAUGGUGUCUUCUGCAUUAAGUCUUUAAACAUAGAAUUAAAGUAAUCAUAAGCUUCUCCACUUUUUUGGGUCUCAUAAUUUUUUCAGGUGAUACGUGAAAAGAUGUCAGAAGACUCUUCGUGGCCACCUCAGUUUCACAGGCACCUGCAGACAUGGAUCCCUCUCCUUUCCCCCUCCUCCAC
rnacentral:lncRNA from 1 species